UACAGAGGAUGCAAGCGUUAUCCGGAAUGAUUGGGCGUAAAGCGUCUGUAGGUGGCUUUUUAAGUCCGCCGUCAAAUCCCAGGGCUCAACUCUGGACAGGCGGUGGAAACUACCAAGCUGGAGUACGGUAGGGGCAGAGGGAAUUUCCGGUGGAGCGGUGAAAUGCGUAGAUAUCGUCUGGAACGCCGAAGGUGAAAACAGCUCGCUGGGGCCGCGCUGACGCUGAGACACGAAAGCCAGGGGAGCGAACGGG
rnacentral:rRNA from 1 species